CAAUAACACCAUCUCCAGCAGAUGCAUUGGCAGAACCUGGCCCGAGUGGCCUUAAUCAACAAGGAAGAGCCUCGAGAGUCACAAGACCUAGAUGCCCUACUUGUAAAAACUGGCCGGAGAAAUUCAAACACUGAAAAUCCUUAUCGAAGCUAGCCAAAAGUGGAUUACGGAUAGGUUUGAUUACAUGUCUACCAAGAUGCAAGCCAUGUUUAUAUUGUUAUCUUUGAAUAAUCAUGCCACAUAUGAAGAUAUUGAAGACAAAUUUCCUAUGACAAGUUUGGAAGACAUGGAAGAUUUUGUAAAUAAACUGAAGAAUCCAAAAUUGAAACAAAAAAUAGUAUGGAUGAAUUGAAGUUCGUGACCGUGUAGAUACAGUGUUGGCCCGAAUAUAAGUCGAGGUUUUUGGUAACCGACUUUACCCUCAAAAACCGAACUCGACUUAUAUUCGGGACUUUGUAGGGGAUCUGCGUUAUCAACUGGGAACUUCGUUAUCGACCGAUAAUUGUAAUAUUCUCGCAAUGCAAUAUUCGCGCACUGCGCGUGCGUGCCUAAUCUCGAAGAUCGAAAAUUUGAACUUCAAUUUUUUCAAAGCAUCAGUAUGAAGUCGGAAAUACAAAUUGUUUAUUGGAUGUUUCGUGCAUGCAAUAAUUGAGAAAAUGAAUAUUCAGAGUGCAGAUAGAGUGGAGUGUAGGGAUUCAAGGACAAAACAAGUGAACAAAAACGUUCGUCGUAGUUAUGAUGCGAACUUUAAACUCAUGGUUGUGCGAAAAGCCGAAAAAUAUUGAAAAUUGAAAUGUCAAAAUGUGUUAUUUGAAGAUAAAUUAGUUUACUAUAGAAAAAUGAAAACGAUAUCAAAAUAUGAAUUAUUGUUAACUAUAUCAUUCAUCACGCAAUAUUAUCAUUUGGUUAACUUAUUCUCA